GGGCUUCUUAAAGUGGCACCGGGCCACAGACAGCUGCUUAUAAAUAGGCAUGUGCCAUUUAGAAGGUCGCACAGCGAACCUCGAAACAUGCCAGAACCUUAACGAGAAACACUGAAAUGCAGAAGAAAUCAGAAGGAACCGCGCUCCCAACACGCACGGCCCCGCCACGCAGGAGCAUCCUAUGGGGCAGGGAGCAGCCAAUGCUCGUGGGGCUGCUCACAGGGAAGUGAACGCUGCCUUUCAUAAAAGCUGACUCCUCUACCCCAAAUAAAAAACAUUCCCUGCCUUGAAGAACAACAUUUUUUUAAUUAUUAUUUCAAAGUACCCUGUUCAGCAGCAGAGCAUACAAAUACUCAUAGCUACGCAAAUAGCAACUCUUUAUUUGCUUUGUUUGCUCAGCUAAUAUUGACUUUCCAGCCUAACACUGCUGCUAUUGAGUUUGGCUAUUCACAGUACUGUUUGACUAGCAUUAGAACAGCGCGGCGAUAACAGCAUGUGCAACCGAAAAAGCAAUCCAUCGCCCCUCCGUGGGACAGUGCCAUUAUGACAGAGGGGGAAAAAAAACCGUCUGCUUAUUCAGUCAAGUACAACUGUUGAAUGCAACGCUGGCAAUGACACUCCUGGCUAGUGCAAACAACCCAAGGUUACAGCGUUAGUGUGUACUCGCGCAAAGCAAACACUACAGAGCGGUUCCGUUGCUGCCCGUCGCCUUGGGCAGGACCCAGGGGUUCGUUCCCUGCCUGGGGUCAGUGUGUGCUGCCCUGUGCCAAGGCUCCUCCCAGCCGUGUGCGUGCUGUGGAGUGGAUGGGCAGACACGGAUGGAUGGAUGGGACCCCUCUGUGGGGGGAAGCAGGGCGAGAGCGCUGCGGAAGGGACGAGGUGGUUGUAGAGAGAUUGCAGAGCCAGACUGAUUGCCUCGCUCGCCUCCCACGUGCAUCCAUCAGUUUAUACAAAUAGCUGUGUGUGCACAGCAGGCAGAGGCAGAGAGCAGCGCCUGUCUGGCACACCGAGCAGCCGGCUCCUCCCGGGGCAGCCCUGCGUGGGACCCCCAGCCCCACAUUAUCACUGCGAGCCCUGGGUUUGGUACUUCAAGCUGACAUUGGGAAGUUCCUCCUCCUCUGCUUCAGGAGGCAGGGAAACAGAUAGAGAGGAGAGGCAGAGCUGGCGGUUGGAUGUGGUGAUCUUAGCGGUCUUUUCCAGCCCUAACGAUUCUAUGAGUCUAUGAUGCCAUGAGGGAGGUCACCACUGCAUCCAAGCUCCAGGACAUUACAUCCACGUGGAGGCAUUCCCUCCAAGAGCUCCAAAAAUGAGGCAGAAGCCGCAUUUCUGCACGCACUGAUUACUGAGGAGCAACAAACAGCUGCAUGCAAAAGUGGAAAGCAGGUACGGUGAAGGAGAGACGUUGAUGUGAUAAUUAACACAUCAAGUUUUAGUGAUCCAUCAGUACUGCGUUGGGGAUCACUGACCAGGAGGGCUCCUCCAGCCCCACGAUGGAGGCUGGGUGAUGGAAGGACCUUAGAAUCACAGAAUCAGAAUCGCUAAGGUUGGAAAUGAUGACUGAGGUCACCAAACCCACCCAUCACCUUCUGCUCCAGGUGUCCCCCAACAGCAGAGAAGACGAGAGAUUCCCCUCCCCUUUUGGGGAUAGAAAAACGAAGACAGUGCAUUCAGGCAAUAGAUGACUCACAGAGCACGAGCCAGCAACAAAAGCUGGAGCACAGCAGGUGCUGGGCACGGCCACCUCCCAACUUCCUCGUGCUGAGUUUUCCCAUGAGCAGUGAAUGCCAAGCAGCCUCUAACCCAGAGCAUCCAGGUUAAUUACUCAUUAAUAGCACUGAAACACCCUUCACAUUCUCCAGGAAAUGUAUUCCAGCCAGCACGAAAGGCAACGCAAUGCUCUGAUUCAUCCCAGCGUCCAGGAGAACAUCGCAGCAAUAAACUGAUAAGGAAGAACAGAUGCACAUGGAAAGCAUCCCCCGGCUUCCAGUUCCAGCCUCCCACCUCAGCCGUGCAGCCGCUCCAGAACAACAUCCAUCCCCAUCGUUCCUCUUGCUUUCAAUCCACAAUCCAGAUUUGCCCGGAGACCUAUAAGAGCUCUUAAGCUAUCUUGUCUGCUCGUGUGCAGAGGAGGGGGAGAAGAAAGCCCCACGGUGGAGAAAACAAGGCUGCGUGAAUUGGAGGGGUUAGGAAAACACUCGUACCUACGCAGGGAAGGCACCAAGUGAUGAAUCAAUUAAAUACCUGAUGGAUUAACCUGAAGUCGGGGUGUUCUCACUGCACUUUCCAUGGCAAG
ensembl:lncRNA